GACAAUGACGUUUGUUUUGUUUACUUUACACUUGUAGGUACACUUAUUUUUAUAUUUUUUAGUUAGUAUUUUAUUUUCAGGUAUUUACGAUAAUAUAUGUGACUAUGUGUAUUUUUAGCAUUAAUUCACUUCUUUAAAAAGUAAAUUGGUUGUUUAAUCAAUAUGGUCUACACACAGAAAUACACCACACCGUUUCCUGUAGGCGCAAGACAGUGAGUGAGCUCGGCGGAAUAUAAAAAAUUGUUUAAUCAAGCCAGCUGAAGUUAAUGAAUGAAGAUAGAAUCCUCUAUCUACGAGAUAGUGACUCCACUUACUACGGUUUGUGCUCCUCUCCAUAGUCUGUAUCUUGAAAUAAGUACGCAUUAGUUGCAGAUAUGGGUAAAUCUAGAGCAGAAUAUAUGCGAAUUUAUCGACAGAAAAAACGUGAGGAUAUAUUAAGAAGACUAGGAGAACAGCCAAAGAAAAUUGCAAAAAGUUCAACACAGCGUAGCAGGGAUCACCGGGCACGUUUGAAAUUAUCAUACAUGCCAAUUUCUUCCUUUUCUUCUUCAGCAACUGCAUGUAAUGAAAACUCUGGAGAAAGCCACCCUCCUGUUGUUAAGCAUAGAAUGGUGGUUCGAGAAAAUGUUGAAAAAAAUGCACACAUUGUAAAUAAUUCCACCAUUUGUAAUGUAAGAAAUAGAUCUAUGCUAAAACCAAAUGAACUACCUAGUGGAAAAUUGCCCGGACACCAUGUAUUGGCGACUAUUAUAUCACCAUUACCUGCUUCUCCAACUUUUCAAUGUACAGGAAAUAAAGAUGAUACCAGUGCCAGUGUAGCAAUAAAGAAAGAAAAUAUUGAAAUGGAAUUAAAUAUUAAUGAUAUAAAAAUUGUUCCUGUUGAGUUUGAAGUAGGUUCAAAAUUGGACAAAGAAUGUUUAGCUGAUGAAUUUUACCCUGAAAAAUGGGAGAAUCAUUUCAUUUGCAAUAGAUUUGUAUCUGAUGAAAAAACUUUUGAUGUAGAAGUUCAAACAUAUGUUGGGAGGACUUUGAAUACCGAUAUUAAAGUAGAACCUAUGCUUGAAGAUGAUGAUAAAAAAAAUUCUAGAAUAGAAUUCACUCCUGUUGAUGUACAGUACUAUAAAAAAGAACAUCCUGAAGAAGCUGCUAUAUUUUACUGUAAAGAAGAGCCACUAGAUAUUGAACACUGCAAGAGAGAGUGGUCUCCCACCUGAAAGUCAGAUUUACAUGGAAUACAGCCAGGUCAACACAAUCCAGUCUUGCUAUCAGAAUAGUGAAAUUCUGAGAACGUCGACAGAUGCAGCCGAGAGAUGCUGAAAGAUUACAAAAAUAUGAAAGAAAAUAAUGGAAAUUCAACAUCUUUUGAUUACUACAUGAAAAGUAUUAAAUACUUAAUCCAUAUGUAGUAACUUCAGUCACUUAAGUGUAAAUUAUUUUAUUUCGGAAUAAGAUGUGCUUAUAAAAAGGAAAUAAAAAGAAAAUGUGUUAAUUUACUAUUAUA